GACGUAGGGCGCGAGCGUUGUCCGGAUUUAUUGGGCGUAAAGAGCUCGUAGGCGGCUUGUUGCGUCGGCUGUGAAAACCCGCGGCUUAACUGCGGGCUUGCAGUUGAUACGGGCAGGCUAGAGUUCGGUAGGGGAGACUGGAAUUCCUGGUGUAGCGGUGAAAUGCGCAGAUAUCAGGAGGAACACCGGUGGCGAAGGCGGGUCUCUGGGCCGAUACUGACGCUGAGGAGCGAAAGCGUGGGGAGCGAGCAGG
rnacentral:rRNA from 1 species